GACGAACGCUGGCGGCGUGCUUAACACAUGCAAGUCGAACGGUGAAGCGCCUUCCUUUUUGGUGGGUGUGGAUGAGUGGCGAACGGGUGAGUAACACGUGAGUAACCUGCCCCCUUCUUCUGGAUAACCGCAUGAAAGUGUGGCUAAUACGGGAUAUUCUGGGUCUGUCGCAUGAUGGGUCUGGGAAAGAUAUUGUUUCGGUGGGGGAUGGGCUCGCGGCCUAUCAGCUUGUUGGUGGGGUGAUGGCCUACCAAGGCGGUGACGGGUAGCCGGCCUGGGAGGGUGGGCGGUCACGCUGGGGCUGAGACACGGCCCAGACUCCUACGGGAGGCAGCAGUGAGGAAUAGUGCACAAUGGGCGCAAGCCUGAUGCAGCGACGCCGCGUGGGGGAUGGAGUCCUUCGGGUUGUGAACCUCUUUCGCCAGUGAAGCAGGCCUGCCUCGUUUGUGGGUGGGUUGACGGUAGCUGGAUAAGAAGCGCCGGCUAACUACGUG
rnacentral:rRNA from 1 species